CUCCGGGAAACCGACCGUUUCGCGGAGUCUGUUCAACUUAACGCUACCUCCCGCGCUCUCCAGAUACCGCGAUUGGUCACCGUCUACACUCUCGCCAGCCAGUAUCACGAGUCAAUGCUAAAUGUCUGUCGGUCGUCCGUUGUACUGGAGUGAAUGACGAUUUGCGUGUUAUUUAUUAGAGAAUAAAGCGUUAUUAAUACGGGUUCGGUCGAGG